rnacentral:rRNA from 1 species
AAGCUCGUAGUUGAAUUUCGGGGUUAGUAGGUUGGUCAUGCCUCUGGUAUGUACUGGUCUCACUGAUUCCUCCUUCCUUAUGAACCGUAAUGCCAUUAAUUUGGUGUUGCGGGGAAUUUGGACUGUUACUUUGAAAAAAUUGAGUGUUUAAAGCAAGCUAACGCUUGAAUACAUUAGCAUGGAAUAAUGAAAUAGGACGUUCGAUCUUAUUUUGUUGGUUUCUGGGAUAGACGUAAUGAUUAAUAGGGAUAGUUGGG